rfam:Leptospirillum sp. Group IV &apos;TBA BS&apos; genomic scaffold D084_Lepto4S00108, whole genome shotgun sequence.
UCGAGCCGUGUGCGGUGAAAGCUGCAAGCACGGUUCCUCGGAGGGUUGGGCUCAGCGAUGGGCCCUGCCUAUCCUAC